rnacentral:tRNA from 1 species
GUCCUCGUGGCCAAGUUGGUUAAGGCUUCACGCUUAUAAUACGAAGACAUUGCAUGUAUCGUAUCGUGACGAUCGGCGGUUCGAGCCCGCCCGGGGACA